rnacentral:lncRNA from 1 species
GGAAGUUGAUCCCUCCCAUUUCACAGUGACAGUAAUAAUAAUAACGACAUUGAUGGUAGUGAAUAUUUGCGGAGCAUUUACCACCUGCCGGGCCUGGCGUUUACCUCGCUGACUAUUCACAACCAACUGAUGGGGCAUUAUUAGUCCCAUUUUACAGAUCAGGAAACUGAGGCGCCAGAGGCCGAGUGGCCUAAGAUCACGCAGCUAGAGGAGGGGGAAUUUCCUGGAUCAACCCACAGUGUCCUAACCCCAACUCCUGAUGGACUUCUGCUUCUAGAAAGCGGCCUGGAAGUCUCAUCGAGAGACUGCCCUUUCGGCCUGGAGCUGGGAAAAGACGCCCCGACGAUCGGUUGUGUGAAUGGAUUUGGGGACAGUGGGGAAACAAGCAGACGGAGUGUUCACCAUGUGAAAUGUUGCUGAAUCAGAGAUCCUGGAGCUCGCCUGGGAGCAGUCUGAGGCCACACACACACACGAAACGCCAAGUCCAAACAGGGCCAUCAGCAGCCCUCAGGGCCUGGAUCUCCUCUUCUCUUCUGGGCAGGUUGGUGUGGGUGGGGGGCAGAGCAGAGGGGUCCCACACAGGAGCUGCCAGCCCUCUGGGGGCCCCGUGCCCACACCCAGGUUCCAAGGGCCGGGCUGUUCCGGGCAGGCUUCCCUCCGCACAAAAACAAGAGUCACUCAAAACAAAACAAAACAAAAAACUCC